CUAGCAUGUCAGGUCCUUUAAAGGCUGGGGGUGGGGAAAGACAGACUAGGGGCCCACAACAGAGGGGGCGGCACUGAGGAGUCUGUAAAUGAUUCUCCCUGACAGCGCUGGCCCAGCCAGGAGCUGUGAUGGAUGGAAGCCUUAAGACAGCCUGAGCCGCAGGCUGGAUGAGCAGUCCUUCCCUGGUGUGCUUUGACGAGGACACGGAGGUAGAGGCAGAGGCAGAUGGGAAGCCAGAGCAAAGAAUUCCAGACCCGUGAAGGCAGAGCUAGAUCGGGUGCCACAGAAGGGAAUGAUUUCUCUGAGACAAAGGACCCUCUUCAAAGGCUGAGGGCUUCCAGGAUG
ensembl:lncRNA